CUCUUGCAGCUCACGGUGAUUUUCGGGCUCAGUUAACCAUUAAACAUCGAAUUCAACAUCAAAACCAAAGUCCCCAACUCGCCGGCGCUACCCUCUCCUAUGGUUGCUUUCUUCUCUUGCUUGGUUGAUUCAAUCCACACACUUAGGAUGGAUACCACUCAGGUAAGGUUCACAAAGACUCAAGCAAUUUGGGUGGAGAAGAAAUCACGAAGAAGAUGAAGGCAGAAGACACGGCUGGACACGACAGUUUCUCUUUUCUCACGGC
rnacentral:lncRNA from 1 species